rnacentral:rRNA from 1 species
CCGACCGCUGGCGGCGUGCUUAACACAUGCAAGUCGAACGGAAAGGCCCUGCUUUUGUGGGGUGCUCGAGUGGCGAACGGGUGAGUAACACGUGAGUAACCUGCCCUUGACUUUGGGAUAACUUCAGGAAACUGGGGCUAAUACCGGAUAGGAGCUCCUGCUGCAUGGUGGGGGUUGGAAAGUUUCGGCGGUUGGGGAUGGACUCGCGGCUUAUCAGCUUGUUGGUGGGGUAGUGGCUUACCAAGGCUUUGACGGGUAGCCGGCCUGAGAGGGUGACCGGCCACAUUGGGACUGAGAUACGGCCCAGACUCCUACGGGAGGCAGCAGUGGGGAAUAUUGCACAAUGGGCGGAAGCCUGAUGCAGCAACGCCGCGUGCGGGAUGACGGCCUUCGGUUUGUAAACCGCUUUCGCCUGUGACGAAGCGUGAGUGACGGUAAUGGGUAAAGAAGCACCGGCUAACUACGUG